AUGGCUGCCAACCCGGUGCAUCACCGCCGCACCAAACACAUCGAGCUCGACAUCCAUUUCGUCCGCGAGAAGGUUGCUGUGGGCCAACUGCGCGUUCUUCAUGUCCCGACCGCGCAGCAGUUCGCCGACAUCAUGACGAAGGGCCUCCCGACCCCGGCGUUCCAGGAAUUCCGGUCCAGCCUGUGCAUCCGGCCACCCGAUGCUCCGACUGCGGCGGGGUGUUGA
rnacentral:rRNA from 1 species